rnacentral:rRNA from 1 species
AGAGUUUGAUCCUGGCUCAGGAUGAACGCUAGCGGCAGGCCUAACACAUGCAAGUCGAGGGGUAGCAGGAUAAAGCUUGCUUUAUUGCUGACGACCGGCGCACGGGUGCGUAACGCGUAUGCAACCUACCUUAUACUGGGGUAUAGCCCGGAGAAAUUCGGAUUAAUCCCCCAUAGUAUUAUCGGAUCGCAUGGUUUGAUAAUUAAAGGUUACGGUAUAAGAUGGGCAUGCGUCCCAUUAGCUAGAUGGUGAGGUAACGGCUCACCAUGGCGACGAUGGGUAGGGGGCCUGAGAGGGUGGUCCCCCACACUGGUACUGAGACACGGACCAGACUCCUACGGGAGGCAGCAGUGAGGAAUAUUGGUCAAUGGGCGCAAGCCUGAACCAGCCAUGCCGCGUGCAGGAAGACGGUCCUAUGGAUUGUAAACUGCUUUUAUUCGGGAAUAAACCUCCUUACGUGUAGGGAGCUGAAGGUACCGAAUGAAUAAGCACCGGCUGACUCCGUGCCAGCAGCCGCGGUAAU